rnacentral:lncRNA from 1 species
CCGGCCCCAGUCAAGCGACCGAAUGCAGCGAGCAAACCAUGAUCCUGGUCAGCAGGAAGGAAGGCAUGAGGCAGCUGGCUCCAUAACCACACAAGUUCCUCCCCCUGG